AUCCAAAGUCCAGCCUGAAAAUUAGGCCGGGGACGUGUUGAAUGCACCGAACAACGUUAGAAACCCUAUGGUCCUAAUCGAUCAAUUGCGCAGGAAAGUCAGGAAACCCGAAUAGAAUGUGUAAAAAUGCUUCAAUGUUUUUGUUUCCUUUUUGCUGGGAGUUGGUAAGUGAAGAAAGGAAAAGCUGAUUCCUAUUUGCCAGGUCCUCCGGGGUUUGGUGUUUUUCUCCUCUUUCUUAUUGCCAUUAUUCAAUUGUUGUGUUUGUGUGUUGGAUUCCUUUUCAUUAGGACUGUAACCGUAAGUAACAGCCUGCUAAAGCCCUAAUUUAAGCUCAUUGGAAACUAUGAAAUUUGUUCGCCUUAUAAAUCGACAGUUACGGUUACACGGCACGGUUAGUUGAAGAUUGGGCAGAUAGACAGGAUCGAAAAAGGUUACGGAGCUGGGAACGCAUGAAUCAUGUUAUCCUUGUCCACCGCCAUGAACAGCUUCAAGCGUGAUCGUUUACGGUCAAAGAUCAAGCUCCUGAGAAAGGACCAAACAGCAACACACCCUUCAAGAGAAAAGUUUACCAAAACCCUCGAAUCUAAUCGUUCGAAUUGGCCGCUACAAUAACUGCUGACCCGAUAAUAAAAAGAAGGGACACCGGUCAAAUUGGACAGCCUCCGUUGUUGUUAGUUUUUUGUUCCUCUGGUUAAGGAUGGUUCAGCUUUUAAAACAUUUUUACCAAAAUAAAUCUUCCUCCAAAAAAAUUAA